CCUACGGGAGGCAGCAGUGGGGAAUAUUGGACAAUGGGGGGAACCCUGAUCCAGCCAUGCCGCGUGUGUGAAGAAGGCCCUCGGGUUGUAAAGCACUUUCAGUGAGGAAGAACGCCUGGUGGUUAAUACCCAUCAGGAAAGACAUCACUCACAGAAGAAGCACCGGCUAACUCCGUGCCAGCAGCCGCGGUAAUACGGAGGGUGCGAGCGUUAAUCGGAAUUACUGGGCGUAAAGCGCGCGUAGGUGGCUUGAUAAGCCGGUUGUGAAAGCCCCGGGCUCAACCUGGGAACGGCAUCCGGAACUGUCAAGCUAGAGUGCAGGAGAGGAAGGUAGAAUUCCCGGUGUAGCGGUGAAAUGCGUAGAGAUCGGGAGGAAUACCAGUGGCGAAGGCGGCCUUCUGGACUGGCACUGACACUGAGGUGCGAAAGCGUGGGUAGCAAACAGGAUUAGAUACCCCAGUAGUC
rnacentral:rRNA from 1 species